CAAUCCGUGAGUUCGUGGAGUCAGACACCUUCGUCUCAUUGGUCGAAUGUUCGACGUUUCCGCUCUUCCUCCGGUAGGGCUCAUGCAGUCGCGCCGUGGUUGUGUGCGCUCCAAUAAUAAACAUGUCAAAACACGGAUGAAAACUUUAAGUUUAGGGGUUAAAGUCACGAUAAAAUUACGUCUGGAGAAUUAUUAUGAAACAUGAUAAACCCGCCACGGUGUUGAUUUUAUUUCAGGUACCUGUCUCUGGGGGUUUUCGCUCAGCUUUCGUUUCGGCCGGGAUUGUAGCGAGUCGAGUGUGGGAAAACACAUUGAUUGUGUGUAACAUGAUGAUUGUUCGUCAGCUACCCGUGUUUCACCUUAUCGCCUUUACAAGUGUAUUUCCGGGAACACAGAACGCCAUGAGUUUAGCAGUGUGUGAGAUCACUGUGUCUGUCUGCGUGUGCGUGUCGCGUCCGCUCUGAUUUCAUCCCGCGUGCACGCCUGGGAGGGGGGGCAGGAUCGCAGGACCGCAGGGUUACGUCCGGAGGGGCGGGGCAGAAGCUGUUGGACGGGCCGCCGCGAAAGCACACGGUUUCCGGGAAACGGGCUCGCGGCGGCGGCGGCGGGGAACUUCCGCGUGAGUUCCAGCGAUCGGCCACCGAAAGCAAGAAGGGUGCUACAGCAGAUGUGGGCACUCGAACCUGGAACUGACCGCAAGACCUCACCCGUGACCAGUACGCCACCUGCUGCCCCUCGCCGUUCCAGUAGCGCUGAAGUGGAGGUGAAGGGGGCGGCAGCGGUUAACGUUCCACUGUUUUUGCACUGAAGAGCAUUGAAUGCGUAGGACUGCGGACAGUACUGCAGCAGCUCUAAUCCAUUCAACCAGAUGCUGAAACUCCAACGUGAUUGUAAGGAGAGUAAACACUACAUACACUCUGCACUCAGAAACAGCAGCAGUGUCAGUCCCAGACGAAGCGAGACGCCGGAGCCUGCAGGGCUCCUCCUUUGCUGUUGUGUGUGCGAGGGGGACCGACUCCAGCAGUGCACCUUACUGUGGGUGUUUCCAGUAAAUCACACGAGCAGAGACGACUGAGUCACAGCUCUCCAACAAACACAGGCCGCUCUCUCGGUCCCUUAUCUCCAUAGAUCUGCACCAGAAAGAGAUGGAUUCUCAUCCCAUCACCCACGGUAACUGUAAGUGAGGUCCAGUCAGAACGGUAGCAUGUCUGCAGGCAUCGAACGUGGAGGACGAGUCCUGAAGGUACUUUCCAAAGUGGGCAAACAGUACGGCAGAGCGGCAAGAAGAGUGACAAGAGUUUAGUUUAAGAGAAAGAUGUAAAUAAACUGUAAAUGAACUCCU